UACGAAGGGGGCUAGCGUUGCUCGGAAUCACUGGGCGUAAAGGGUGCGUAGGCGGGUCUUUAAGUCAGGGGUGAAAUCCUGGAGCUCAACUCCAGAACUGCCUUUGAUACUGAGGAUCUUGAGUUCGGGAGAGGUGAGUGGAACUGCGAGUGUAGAGGUGAAAUUCGUAGAUAUUCGCAAGAACACCAGUGGCGAAGGCGGCUCACUGGCCCGAUACUGACGCUGAGGCGCGAAAGGUAGGGGAGCAAACAGG
rnacentral:rRNA from 1 species